AUUGAACGCUGGCGGCAGGCCUAACACAUGCAAGUCGAGCGGAUGAAGGGAGCUUGCUCCUGGAUUCAGCGGCGGACGGGUGAGUAAUGCCUAGGAAUCUGCCUGGUAGUGGGGGAUAACGUCCGGAAACGGGCGCUAAUACCGCAUACGUCCUGCGGGAGAAAGUGGGGGAUCUUCGGACCUCACGCUAUCAGAUGAGCCUAGGUCGGAUUAGCUAGUUGGUGGGGUAAAGGCCUACCAAGGCGAAGAUCCGUAACUGGUCUGAGAGGAUGAUCAGUCACACUGGAACUGAGACACGGUCCAGACUCCUACGGGAGGCAGCAGUUGGGAAUAUUGGACAAUGGGCGAAAGCCUGAUCCAGCCAUGCCGCGUGUGUGAAGAAGGUCUUCGGAUUGUAAAGCACUUUAAGUUGGGAGGAAGGGCAGUAAGUUAAUACCUUGCUGUUUUGACGUUACCAACAGAAUAAGCACCGGCUAACUUCGUG
rnacentral:rRNA from 1 species